GCCUCUGUAGCUCAGCGAAUAGAGCGGCGGUGUUCUAAACCGAUGGUCGAGGGUUGAAAUCCUUCCGGGGGCGCCA
rnacentral:tRNA from 1 species